rnacentral:rRNA from 1 species
GACGAACGCUGGCGGCGUGCUUAACACAUGCAAGUCGAACGGAAAGGCCCUGCUUUUGUGGGGUGCUCGAGUGGCGAACGGGUGAGUAACACGUGAGUAACCUGCCCUUGACUUUGGGAUAACUUCAGGAAACUGGGGCUAAUACCGGAUAGGAGCUCCUGCUGCAUGGGGGGGGUUGGAAAGUUUCGGCGGUUGGGGAUGGACUCGCGGCUUAUCAGCUUGUUGGUGGGUAGUGGCUUACCAAGGCUUUGACGGGUAGCCGGCCUGGGAGGGUGACCGGCCACAUUGGGACUGAGAUCCGGCCCAGACUCCUACGGGAGGCAGCAGUGGGGAAUAUUGCACAAUGGGCGGAAGCCUGAUGCAGCAGCGCCGCGUGCGGGAUGACGGCCUUCGGGUUGUAAACCGCUUUCGCCUGUGACGAAGCGUGAGUGGAGGUUAUGGGUAAAGAAGCCCCGGCUAACUUCGUGC